rnacentral:sRNA from 1 species
GCGGCCGCCAAGGCCAUCGGGUAAGCGGGCAGGGGUUAGUGGGUAGCUGCAGCAAGCCUGGCUUGGCGCUGCCGGCGGGCCCCGGGAGCGCUCCGUGCGCCGGGUGGGCGGGGGAGUGCGCCGGGUGAGCCCCAGGGCGUCGCCCCAGCCUGAACCCCCGGCCCAGGGUCCUGGCGCGCAACGACAUGAGCAUCGCCGAGGAGCUGCUGUACCUGCGCGUGGUGCGUGGCCUAAUGGCCGCCAUGGGCAACACGGACCACAGCAACAGCCAGCGGCUGGCCAGCCUCACGCUGGAGUGCUUCGUGCAGAUGUUCCCCUUGGUGGCGGAGCACGUGCGCAAGUGCAUGGGGGAGGAACUCUACCAGCUCUUCCUGAGCAACGCUGAGGACUUGUACAUGAAAAUAGACAGCAUUCAGGCGGACAUCUUGGCGGCCAACACAGUCAAUGUUACCAAAGGUGAGUGUGGGACGAGGGAAGCCGGGCGCAGGCGCCGCCAGCACAGCCUCACGCCUGCCUUUCCUGCCUGCAGCCCUGUGCCUCCAUGGCAGCUCCUACAGCAUGAACACUCUCUAUGGCUCGCGUGAUUCGGCUCAGAUGGCCUACCUCACACACUUCGAGGAGGAUGUAGAAUCAAAGGAGUAACAGCCCCUGUGGCAAACCAGGAAGGCCAAGGCUGCGGGGCAGGGAAGCCUGGCAAGAGGAAGGCGCCUGGGGUCAAGCUCAGAGCCACUCCACUUGGCUCCAAGGGGGAGACGGGGAUUAGGCACCCCAGAGGGGCAGAGGGAGAGCCGCUGGCUGCGAAGAGUCAAUAAACAGCCUUGAUACCUGUC